UGUGUGUGUGUGUGUGUGUGUGUGUGUGUGUGUGUGUAUGGGCCCCAGCAGCUGUUGAUCAUCUCAAAAAUGUUCGGAACGUGUCGAAUGAGUUCAGAGACAAGAUUUUACAUGUUACAACACACAAACACACACACACACACACACACACACACACACA
rnacentral:miRNA from 14 species